rnacentral:miRNA from 1 species
AGGAACUUCCCAAGGAACAG